ensembl:snRNA U1 U1 spliceosomal RNA
AUAUUUAUCUGGUGAAUGAGAUUCCAUGACCAUGAACGUGGUUUACCUAGUGCAAGGUUUGUCCAUUGCACAUUGGGUGUGCUGACCCCUGUGAUUUCCCCACAUGUGGAAAACCUGACUGUGGAAUUUGUGCUGGUUGGGAACUGUGUAACUGCUUUUCCCUG